CAGGCUUAACACAUGCAAGUCGAGGGGCAGCAUGGUCUUAGCUUGCUAAGGCCGAUGGCGACCAGCGCACGGGUGAGUAACGCGCAUCCAACCUGCCUUACACUCUUGGACAGCCUUCUGAAAGGGAGAUUAAUACAAGAUGUUAUCAUGAGUAAGCAUUUUCGCAUGAUUAAAGGUUUACCGGUGUAAGAUGGGGAUGCGUUCCAUUAGAUAGUAGGCGGGGUAACGGCCCACCUAGUCUUCGAUGGAUAGGGGUUCUGAGAGGAAGGUCCCCCACAUUGGAACUGAGACACGGUCCAAACUCCUACGGGAGGCAGCAGUGAGGAAUAUUGGUCAAUGGACGAGAGUCUGAACCAGCCAAGUAGCGUGAAGGAUGAAGGUUCUAUGGAUUGUAAACUUCUUUUAUACGGGAAUAAACGAAUCCACGUGUGGAUUUUUGCAUGUACCGUAUGAAUAAGGAUCGGCUAACUCCGUGCCAGCAGCCGCGGUAAUACGGAGGAUCCGAGCGUUAUCCGGAUUUAUUGGGUUUAAAGGGAGCGUAGAUGGGUUGUUAAGUCAGUUGUGAAAGUUUGCGGCUCAACCGUAAAAUUGCAAUUGAUACUGGCAGUCCUGAGUACAGUUGAGGUAGGCGGAAUUCGUGGUGUAGCGGUGAAAUGCUUAGAUAUCACGAAGAACUCCGAUUGCGAAGGCAGCUUACUAACCUGUAACUGACAUUGAUGCUCGAAAGUGUGGGUAUCAAACAGGAUUAGAUACCCUGGUAGUCCACACGGUAAACGAUGAAUACUCGCUGUAGGCGAUAUACAGUCUGCGGCCAAGCGAAAGCAUUAAGUAUUCCACCUGGGGAGUACGCCGGCAACGGUGAAACUCAAAGGAAUUGACGGGGGCCCGCACAAGCGGAGGAACAUGUGGUUUAAUUCGAUGAUACGCGAGGAACCUUACCCGGGCUUAAAUUGCAACCGAAUAUGGCGGAAACGCUAUAGCUAGCAAUAGCGGUUGUGAAGGUGCUGCAUGGUUGUCGUCAGCUCGUGCCGUGAGGUGUCGGCUUAAGUGCCAUAACGAGCGCAACCCUUGCCGAUAGUUACUAACAGGUCAUGCUGAGGACUCUGUCGGGACUGCCAUCGUAAGAUGUGAGGAAGGUGGGGAUGACGUCAAAUCAGCACGGCCCUUACGUCCGGGGCUACACACGUGUUACAAUGGGGGGUACAGAGGGCUGCUACCACGCAAGUGGAUGCCAAUCCCAAAAACCUCUCUCAGUUCGGAUUGAAGUCUGCAACCCGACUUCAUGAAGCUGGAUUCGCUAGUAAUCGCGCAUCAGCCACGGCGCGGUGAAUACGUUCCCGGGCCUUGUACACACCGCCCGUCAAGCCAUGGGAGCCGGGGGUACCUGAAGUGCGUAACCGCAAGGAGCGCCCUAGGGUAAAACUGGUGACUGGGGCUAAG
rnacentral:rRNA from 1 species